rnacentral:rRNA from 1 species
AGUCACUGGUGAAAUCCUGUAGCUUAACUGUGGGAAUUUGCUGGUGAUACUGUUGAACUUGAGGUCGGGAGAGGUUAGCGGUACUCCCAGGGUAGAGGUGAAAUUCUGUAAUCCUGGGAGGACCACCUGUGGCGAAGGCGGCUAACUGGAACGAACCUGACGGUGAGGGACGAAAGCUAGGGGCGCGAACCGGAUUAGAUACCCGGGUAGUCCUAGCCGUAAACGAUGCGGACUUGGUGUUGGGAUGGCUUUGAGCCGCUCCGGUGCCGAAGGGAAGCUGUUAAGUCCGCCGCCUG